UUUCCAGAGUGCAGGCCAACUGAAGAGAAGGAGCUGAAAGACUCCAGAGAGGUUGAUCAGUGACAAUAGAUUAGAUUUUAAAUGAUGAUGGAAGAACACUCAGCAUAUUCUGGAUAUUAGAGAACUGAGGAAAUAAAGACAUGAGUCAACUUCCCAGCAAUGGGCCCAUCCAGGGUAAACUAGACAUCUAUUCAUCAGAGAGAAGAGGUGAUGAUGCAUUGCUGCCCCCACUUCUCAACAAACUCGGCAACUGAUUCACGGCUAUGGGAUGAAAUCCAAAAACCAAGGGGAUUCUCAUUCUUGAAAGAAUAAGGAUCCCAGGGUACGGCUGCAAAAGGAGUCUGAGAAGAUGACUUACUGAAAUCAAGAGCUUGGAUGCCCUUCUCCUUCUGCCCUUGGAUGUCAGAAUUCCAGUUCCUCUGGCUUUUGGACUGUAGGACUCACACCAGCAUUCCCUGUCCCUACCACCUCCACCACCCACCAGCUUUCAGGCCUUUGGCCUGAGACUGAGAGUUACACCAUCGGCUUCCUUGGUUCUGAGGCCUUCAUAUCCGGACUGAACCAUGCAACUGCCUUUCCUGGUUCUCCAGCUUGCAGUCGGCCUGUUGUGACACCUCUCAGCCUUCCUUACAAAGUGAGCCAAUUCCCUUAAUUAAUCAUUUCUCCUCUCUCUCUGUCUCUUUCUAGCUUAUUGGUUCUAUCUCUCUGAAAAACCUUGACUGAUUCAGUCAUCUUCCUAAAAGAGUUCAGCAUUUAAUAAAAUCCCUCUAACCCACAGGCCUAGUCCUCUCUAGGCUGGUUGCAUUAAGGGAUAGAAAGUCUGGAGAAGACUUUCCAAUCCGGUUUUGGGGGCGAGUCAAUUGCAUGCGUGAAACUGAAGUUAGCAGGAGAGGGCGCUGUCCCCAAAGCUUCAGGGCCUGCAGAUGCUCAGAAAGAGCUGUCAGCCUGGUCCAGGCACAGGAGAGAAGAACCAGUGUCCUGGACGAGGGGACCCGGAAGUCUGGAAAGCAGCCAGUAUACCUUGGGAAGGGUGGGCAGGAGGCGCAAAGGCAGUCCAGCAAGCACAGAGGGACUGUUGAGGAAUAUUACAGGGUGGGGCAGUUACUGGGGGUAGGAGGUGAGGGAGAAUUGUUUGUGACCCACAUUGCACAGUCACCUUAGAGUUUUCCAGAAGUGAGUCCUGAGAGGAGGCACAUGCAAUGACCAGCCAUAGCCACUAGGGGGAAGCAUUUGCUUGUGAAACCAACGACCUAACCGACCAGUAGCCAACUCAGAUUCCUGUCACUAUACCCUUGAACUAUCCCAAGAAGUGGGGAUUGACAUUUUCUAAUGAAUUAUAAACUAAGAGACACUACUGCUGACUCUCCCCAGGCUAGGAUUCUAGUUUAGCCGCAGGAUGACCACAACAGACAAACCUCGCAUGCUAUUUGCCCAUGAGUGGUCGGUCACACCCUGGUGAUUUGAGGUGCAUCCCGGGCACGGUCUCAGAGGUCAAGGUCUCUGAGCCGUCUUCUUUACUUAUUGGCUAAGGGACUGUCUUCCUCCUUUUCAUCCCUUGGGGCAGCAACAUCCAGUUGCGGUUUGAGAAAUCUGAAAGGAGACAGACAUAGGCCCAACUACUCUUGGGACAGCUGUUUUUGUUUGUUUGUUUGUUGUUGUUUGUUUGUUUUGGAUAGCUGUUUAAUGAAUCUCAGUGACAAACUUCAACUCUUCGAUUUAGUACAUAUCUUGGCUCUUAGGGAGUAGGGUUCACAUUUCAGCUUUGCUGUUUACUAGCUACAUGAACUUGGAUCCAUCUCUUAACUCUCAGGCCUUUGGUGUACUCAUUUAAAAUGUAAUCACAGAGCUGCUGUAAAGGUUAAAUUAGAACCAUAUAUGUAAAGCAUCAGCACAUAAAAAGAGCUCCAAUGUGAGUACCCUUUAUUCUUUGAAUGAUUUUCUUAACCAAUCAGCCUUCCCUUAACGGGCCCAGCCUGGUGCUGUUGCUUCCAGUUAUCGAAAGGAUUAUUAGGUGCUUGUGCACAUUUCAAGUUUCCUUGUGGAUGAAGAUCCCAUAAUUUUCAUUAGAGUAUCACCUCUCAAACUUCAGACAUUUUGAUACCAACUUUAUAAUUGUUGCUAUGUCUGCUA
rnacentral:lncRNA from 10 species